UUCCAGCUCCAAUAGCGUAUAUUAAAGUUGUUGCAGUUAAAAAGCUCGUAGUUGGAUUUGGGACUGGAGUCGUCGGGUCGGCCGCGAGGUCUGUUACUUGGCGGCUCUGUCAUUACAAUUCCCUGGGACCUGUCGUGUGCUUCGCUGUACGCGGCACGGGACUUGGGACGUUUACUUUGAAAAAAUUAGAGUGUUCAAAGCAGGCUUUUUAAGCCCGAAUACAUGAGCAUGGAAUAAUGGAAUAGGAUUGCGGUUCUAUUUUGUUGGUCUCUACGACCGCAGUAAUGAUUAAGAGGGACAAUUGGGGGCAUCCGUAUUUCGUUGUCAGAGGUGAAAUUCUCGGAUUUACGAAAGACGAACAACUGUGAAAGCAUUUGCCAAGAGUGUUUUCAUCA
rnacentral:rRNA from 1 species